AAACUCAAAGGAAUUGACGGGGGCCCGCACAAGCGGAGGAACAUGUGGUUUAAUUCGAUAAUACGCGAGGAACCUUACCCGGGCUCGAACGAUAUUUGAAUACAUCCGAAAAGAUGUAGCUAGCAAUAGCAAAUACCGAGGUGCCGCAUGGUUGUCGUCAGCUCGUGCCGUGAGGUGUCGACUUAAGUGUCAUAACGAGCGCAACCCUUACCGAUAGUUACCAUCGGAUAAUGCUGGGGACUCUAUUGGGACUGCCACCGUAAGGUGUGAGGAAGGAGAGGAUGACGUCAAAUCAGCACGGCCCUUAUGUCCGGGGCGACACACGUGUUACAAUGGGAGAAACAAAGGGUCGCUACCUGGCAACAGGAUGCUAAUCUCGAAAAUCUCUCUCAGUUCGGAUUGGAGUCUGCAACUCGACUCCAUGAAGCUGGAUUCGCUAGUAAUCGCACAUCAGCCAUGGUGCGGUGAAUACGUUCCCGGGCCUUGUACACACCGCCCGUC
rnacentral:rRNA from 1 species